rnacentral:rRNA from 1 species
GACGAACGCUGGCGGCGUGCUUAACACAUGCAAGUCGAGCGGUAAGGCCCUUUCGGGGGUACACGAGCGGCGAACGGGUGAGUAACACGUGGGUGACCUGCCCUUAGCUCUGGGAUAAGCCUGGGAAACUGGGUCUAAUACCGGAUAUGACUCCAUGACGCAUGUUGUGGGGUGGAAAGCCUUGUGCGGCUAGGGAUGGGCCCGCGGCCUAUCAGCUUGUUGGUGGGGUGAUGGCCACCAAGGCGACGACGGGCAGCCGGCCUGAGAGGGCGACCGGCCACACUGGGACUGAGACACGGCCCAGACUCCUACGGGAGGCAGCAGUGGGGAAUCUUGCGCAAUGGGCGAAAGCCUGACGCAGCGACGCCGCGUGAGGGAUGACGGCCUGG